rnacentral:tRNA from 3 species
CUACGUAGCUCAGCUGGUUAGAGCACAUCACUCAUAAUGAUGGGGUCACAGGUUCGAAUCCCGUCGUAG